GAUGAACGCUGGCGGCGUGCCUAAUACAUGCAAGUCGAGCGAACAGACGAGGAGCUUGCUCCUCUGACGUUAGCGGCGGACGGGUGAGUAACACGUGGAUAACCUACCUAUAAGACUGGGAUAACUUCGGGAAACCGGAGCUAAUACCGGAUAAUAUAUUGAACCGCAUGGUUCAAUAGUGAAAGACGGUUUUGCUGUCACUUAUAGAUGGAUCCGCGCCGCAUUAGCUAGUUGGUAAGGUAACGGCUUACCAAGGCGACGAUGCGUAGCCGACCUGAGAGGGUGAUCGGCCACACUGGAACUGAGACACGGUCCAGACUCCUACGGGAGGCAGCAGUAGGGAAUCUUCCGCAAUGGGCGAAAGCCUGACGGAGCAACGCCGCGUGAGUGAUGAAGGUCUUCGGAUCGUAAGACUCUGUUAUUAGGGAAGAACAAAUGUGUAAGUAACUAUGCACGUCUUGACGGUACCUAAUCAGAAAGCCACGGCUAACUACGUG
rnacentral:rRNA from 1 species